rnacentral:rRNA from 1 species
GACGAACGCUGGCGGCGUGCUUAACACAUGCAAGUCGAACGAGAGGACAAGAGAAGCUUGCUUCUUUUGGAAUCGAGUGGCAAACGGGUGAGUAACACGUAAACAACCUGCCUUCAGGAUGGGGACAACAGACGGAAACGACUGCUAAUACCGCAUAACAUAUAGAUGUCGCAUGGCAUUUAUAUCAAAGAUUUAUCGCUGAAAGAUGGCCUCGCGUCUGAUUAGCUGGUUGGUGAGGUAACGGCCCACCAAGGCGACGAUCAGUAGCCGGACUGAGAGGGUGACCGGCCACAUUGGGACUGAGACACGGCCCAAACUCCUACGGGAGGCAGCAGUGGGGAAUAUUGCACAAUGGGGGGAAACCCUGAUGCAGCGACGCCGCGUGGAGGAAGAAGGUCUUCGGAUUGUAAACUCCUGUUGUUGAGGAAGAUAAUGACGGUACUCAACAAGGAAGUGACGGCUAACUACGUGCCAGCAGCCGCGGU